rnacentral:lncRNA from 1 species
GCCCCUUCAAGUUGUCCACAACGGUCAGUUGAACACCAUAACUUUCCAUAUGACCAGUCAGACACCUCUACUUGGUAGAAGUAUAUUCUCUUAAGCCCCUUCCACUAACAUGAAUUUUUUUUUGUGUUACACCUACAUCUAAGCGCGUGAAAGAACUUGAAAAUAAGGUUUAUCUUUUUUUCCAUAAUUCAAUGUGGACCAUACUAUCUCCUCAAAUUUCCUCCAUCUUCUGCGUUGCCCAAUUAUGUUCUCCAUUUGAGAAGGAAGCAAUAUCCUCGAAAUUGUUUUGGCCGGGAAAGUGAGUACUUAGCGGAAAAUUUUCUGCAAUCUCUCUUCUUUAAUAUUGUCCCCUAUUAUCUUCUCCAUAUUCACCCUCCAUGACACCUAAAAAUACAAAAAUUUCCAUCACCAUCCACCAUUAAAC